UUGUAGAGGGAGAGCGCCGAGGCGCACCCGGAGCGCGUUUGUGAACUUAUACCUUACUGUUGCCUCGGCGCAUGCCGGCCCCCCUGGGGGCCCCUCCUUCUGGAGGAGCAGGCACGCCGGCGGCCAACCUAACUCUUGUUUUUACACUGAAACUCUGAGAAUAAAACAUAAAUGAAUCAAAACUUUCAACAACGGAUCUCUUGGUUCUGGCAUCGAUGAAGAACGCAGCGAAAUGCGAUAAGUAAUGUGAAUUGCAGAAUUCAGUGAAUCAUCGAAUCUUUGAACGCACAUUGCGCCCUCUGGUAUUCCGGAGGGCAUGCCUGUUCGAGCGUCAUUUCAACCCUCAAGCCUGGCUUGGUGAUGGGGCACUGCCUGUAAAAGGGCAGGCCCUGAAAUUCAGUGGCGAGCUCGCCAGGACCCCGAGCGCAGUAGUUAAACCCUCGCUCUGGAAGGCCCUGGCGGUGCCCUGCCGUUAAACCCCCAACUUCUGAAAAUUUGACCUCGGAUCAGGUAGGAAUACCCGCUGAACUUAAGCAUAUCAAUAAGCGGAGGAA
rnacentral:rRNA from 1 species